rnacentral:rRNA from 1 species
UACAGAGGCCCCAAGCGUUACUGAGAAUCACUGGGUUUAAAGGGUGCGUAGGUGGUCCGUUAAGUCUGUUGUGAAAGCCCUUGGCUCAACCAAGGAAUUGCUUCGGAUACUGGCGGACUUGAGGCUAGUAGAGGUCACUGGAACUGACGGUGGAGCGGUGAAAUGCGUAGAUAUCGUCAGGAACGCCGGUGGUGAAGACGGGUGACUGGGCUAGUUCUGACACUGAGGCACGAAAGCGUGGGGAGCGAAC